GCUUAUCACCAUUCCAGAUUGAAUAUACCCGAUCUCGUCUGAUCUCGGAAGUCAAGCAAUCUCGGGCU
rfam:Ciona savignyi cont_40856, whole genome shotgun sequence.